rnacentral:misc_RNA from 1 species
AACAACCUCUCAAGCCUAGCUUGGUAUUGGGACUCGCUGCCCUUGUGGCGGUCCUCAAAAGCAGUGGCGGGACCAUGUAACUCUCCGCGUAGUAAUACAUCUCGCGACAGAGAAGCAUUGGGACUUGCCAAAACUCCUUAAUUGCUCA